AAUGUGCAUGUGUAUAGAUGUGAAGUGGUAUCAUUUGCCUUGCUGUGUGUCUGAGGAUAGCCUUGAACUCCUGAUCCUCCUGCCUCUACCUCCUCAGUGCUGGGGUUGGAUUCCAGGGGCCCUUGCAUGCUCUCCGAGCGCUCCGCCGGCUGAGCUGCAUCCCAAGCCCCCUGUUUGUAUUUUAUCAUGAAGACUUGAGGGGUCUUCAAAGUCUCCCUAUACAAAAACCCAAAAAUCAAAACCAGCAACAACAAAGGUAGAUGUAUCAAGGGAUGGAAACAGUAGUUGCCCUGGCUUGAACAGCACAUCAACAUGGGGACCCUGAGCCCACAUUCACCCUAAGCCCCAUUUGUAAGUAGACCUCCUGUCAGUCUUAAGAAAAUGAGGAUCACUGGAGUGUGAGCCAUUCUUAUGUGUCAGCUAAAAAUACCCCAAAAGUUUAAAACAGAAGUUACAGCAGACAGCCUGCUAUUUAGAGAUGGGCAUGAUUACGGAGUCGUUCUACUGAAAGAGGAAAUGGUGUUUCUGGGGAGAAGAAGGAGAGAAACUUCAGGGCGUUGGAAGGUGUACCAGUUCUUAACCCAUGGGUCAGGUAAGACCAUCAGAAAACACAGAUACUUACGUUGUGGUUCAUAACAGCAAGAUUACAGUUACAAAGUAGCAGUGAGAAUAAUUUUAUGGUUGCAGGUCACCACAACGUGGAGAACUGUAUUGAAGGGUUGUAUCAUUGGGAGGGUUGAGUGGUGUACUGGUUAGGUUUCUUUUUGUACUGGUCAGUUUUAACUGCCUCAAUCUAGAAUCAGCUGGGAAGAGAGUCUCAAAUGAGGAAUUAUCCAGGUCACACUAGCAUGUGGCCAUGUCUGGGAAGCGGGUUGUCUUGGUUAUUAGUUGAUAUAGGAAGACCCAGCCUACUGUGGGUGGCGCCAUUCCCUAGGCAGGGGAUACUGAACUGUAUAAGAACAGAAAGUUAACUGAGUGUAAGAAACAAGCAACAGACCUGUGCGUUUGUUCACUCUCUGCUCUUGACUCUGGAUGGGAUGGUUUAGUUUCCUGCCUUGACGUGCCCACAGUUGCCCACACUUGUCCAGACUAUCACCUGGAAUUGUGAGCUACAUAAUCCGUCUCUUCCCCUCAGGUGCUUUCUCACACAGUGUUUUAUCACAAUAGAAAGAAAAUUAGACCAGACAGACCUGGUUUUGCAAGUACUAGGGCCUCUAAUUUAUUUGUAUGUAUAGCUUGAAGUUUUACAAGUGGUUAUGAGCCCCCCCAUGAGGCUCAUAACCAAUCUUCAGAGCAAACUCUCCGGUCUCUAAGAAUCCAAUUUAUUGUUAAGUAUAGGUACACGCCUUUAACCCCAGCAGAUGGCCGGCAGAGGCAAGUGAAUUUCUGUGAGUUUAAGGCCAGCCUGGUCCAAGCUAUCCAGGGCUGUGUAGUAAGACCUUGCCCUGAAACAAAACAAAAC
rnacentral:lncRNA from 1 species